CGGAAUCUGCCUAUUUGUGGGGGAUAACGUAGGGAAACUUACGCUAAUACCGCAUACGACCUACGGGUGAAAGCGGAGGACCUUCGGGCUUCGCGCAGAUAGAUGAGCCGAUGUCGGAUUAGCUAGUUGGCGGGGUAAAGGCCCACCAAGGCGACGAUCCGUAGCUGGUCUGAGAGGAUGAUCAGCCACACUGGAACUGAGACACGGUCCAGACUCCUACGGGAGGCAGCAGUGGGGAAUAUUGGACAAUGGGCGCAAGCCUGAUCCAGCCAUGCCGCGUGGGUGAAGAAGGCCUUCGGGUUGUAAAGCCCUUUUGUUGGGAAAGAAAAGCAGUCGGUUAAUACCCGAUUGUUCUGACGGUACCCAAAGAAUAAGCACCGGCUAACUUCGUGCCAGCAGCCGCGGUAAUACGAAGGGCGCAAGCGUUACUCGGAAUUACUGGGCGUAAAGCGUGCGUAGGUGGUUUGUUAAGUCUGAUGUGAAAGCCCUGGGCUCAACCUGGGAAUUGCAUUGGAUACUGGCAGGCUAGAGUGCGGUAGAGGGUAGUGGAAUUCCCGGU
rnacentral:rRNA from 1 species